AGGUCCAGAUAUGCAUUUUACA
rnacentral:miRNA from 9 species